AGAGACUGCAGGAUGGAUCUUGGAGGAGACGGCUCCUGCUGGGCCUCUAAGGCAACCACGCAUAGCCAUCUACAACUUUCAGACUCCUGACCU
ensembl:misc_RNA